GACGAACGCUGGCGGCGUGCUUAACACAUGCAAGUCGAACGGAAAGGCCCUGCUUUUGUGGGGUGCUCGAGUGGCGAACGGGUGAGUAACACGUGAGUAACCUGCCCUUGACUUUGGGAUAACUUCAGGAAACUGGGGCUAAUACCGGAUAGGAGCUCCUGCUGCAUGGUGGGGGUUGGAAAGUUUCGGCGGUUGGGGAUGGACUCGCGGCUUAUCAGCUUGUUGGUGGGGUAGUGGCUUACCAAGGCUUUGACGGGUAGCCGGCCUGAGAGGGUGACCGGCCACAUUGGGACUGAGAUACGGCCCAGACGCCUACGGGAGGCAGCAGUGGGGAAUAUUGCACAAUGGGCGGAAGCCUGAUGCAGCAACGCCGCGUGCGGGAGGACGGCCUUCGGGUUGUAAACCGCUUUCGCCUGUGACGAAGCGUGAGUGACGGUAAUGGGUAAAGAAGCACCGGCUAACUACGUGC
rnacentral:rRNA from 1 species